AAUGUAUUUAUUAUUAAACAAUUAUCGGUACUUCAGCCAGUUCAGACCUUCAUUUCACCAGGCAACCUGAAAUUAUCAUGACUUAUUCUGAGUGCAUAUUUGACAUAAUUUAGCUUAAUGGCGGCUUAAUAAGAUGUUUCUGUUAAAGCAAAAAAAGAAAAAAAAAAUCAGAUUUGUUUUAUUCUCCUUAUUUCUUUGGCCAUGCACAGACUCUGCUGCUUCCCCUGGGGGUAUUCCAGUUAUUUCCCCACGGGCAGAACUCCGACUUUACACACAAAAAAAGACCAUUUAACACAAAAAUGACUCCCAUCCACCCACACAAAGCCCUCGACAUUUCGUAUGGAGGGUACCCGGGCUACACAGAUUGGUAAUUGUACAGGAGUCAAAUGCCUUCAUAGUUAUAAUGUCAAGUAUACAGGAAUAGCAACAAGAUCCAGAUGGGGAAGGCGAUCUUCUUGACGGGUGUUCUGCUGAAAUUGAGAAAAUUGUGAUAAUGUCACUUUAAGGCCGGUUACAUUCGCAAAGUAAAUGCAUUUGCAGGGCAAUUUUCUAGGAACCGAGCGGCGCUGUUCCUUUAAAUGGAACUUGAUCUUUGGUUCUUUGAAGCCGGGAGGACGUAGACAGUCUUUCCUUGCAUUUCUGUUUGUCUGUUUGUGGCAAUGAGGGGCAUCUGGAAGAAACCGAGAGGCUGGCGGACGGCAUGUUUGUGUCAUGGCUGGAGGCCUGGUUGGGAAAGCUACAAUGUGACUACCACCAUAGAUAAAGGGGACGUUCACUGUAAACAAGGUUCCACCGCUUCAUUAAAGUGUUUAGAAGAAAGAUCAAAGUCUGAAGAAAGUUCUUUGUAACCGAGCACAUUUGUGAAGACUAAGACAUCUGCUUCUCUGUCCUAGACAACGUGACCUCUGUUCCGGCUUAGUGGAACAGAACUGAUACUGUAUGUAACGAAAAUGAGUAGAUUCUAGGAUGUUCCAAUAUAUGUUCUGUAUUAAUCCCUUUUCAAGAUCUCUGCUUUCUGUCAUUUGUUGGAGGCCUUCAUUGUUAUGUCUCAGUAGAUAAGAAUCGGUCCCGGUGUCCUUGGAGGUCACUCAGAUGUCCUUGGAGGUCAUUCAGAUGUCCUUGGAGGUCACUCAGAUGUCCUUGGAGGUCAAUCAGAUGUCCUUGGAGGUCAUUCAGAUGUCCUUGGAGGUCACUCAGAUGUCCUUGGAGGUCACUAAGAUGUCCUUGGAGGUCACUCAGAUGCUCGGCUUAUCACAACACACAUCGAUGAUAAGUGUCCCAUAGACCGUGCAGGUCAGGAGAGAUGACAGGUCCUCUUCAACACCUACAAAUCGCACAUGCAUGAAACGUCUAUUGAACUCUCCGGCAUUCUCUUUCAUUUGAAGACGAGAGAUUCGGCACUACACCACGUCGGCUUAAAUAACUUUAAAAAAAAAAAAAAAGCUUUCUUAUUAUUUCAGCUUUUUUUUCUCUUUAAUUUUCAAAAUCAUCUGUCUUGAAAUAAAUAGAUUGAACACCGUCUGCGAUGAAUUCCUGGCUUGUUAAUUAACCACUUUGCUGCUGCCAAGGCGAGGAAGCCAUGCAGAACCGACUCUCCAAGUAGUGAAAGAUUAAAACGACUUGUUAAAAGAUGUGUGAAGUAGAGGAAAGAGGAGAAAUUUCAAAGAGGCAGGAAAGAGUCUGGGAGUGAUAUGAAGAAGAAGAAGAAAAAAAAUCCUGAUUCCAAACAGAUUGUUUGAAUUAUAAAUCCUUCGCUUAAUCCAAGGGAUUAUUCAACAAAAACCUACCUUCACUCUACAAUAUUUACAAAGACUGUUGUGGAUUACUUACAUUGUGGGCAAGACCUGCUUCAAAUUUAUGGCUUUCAUUUUAUGUUAAAUAUUAAAAGGGUC